UACGUAGGGUGCAAGCGUUGUCCGGAAUUAUUGGGCGUAAAGAGCUCGUAGGCGGUUUGUCGCGUCUGCUGUGAAAACUCGGGGCUCAACUCCGAGCUUGCAGUGGGUACGGGCAGACUAGAGUGCGGUAGGGGAGAAUGGAAUUCCGGGUGUAGCGGUGGAAUGCGUAGAGAUCCGGAAGAACACCGGUGGCGAAGGCGGUUAGCUGGGCAGUUGCUGACACUGAGGCGCGACAGCGUGGGGAGCAAACAGG
rnacentral:rRNA from 1 species